AGACUACGAGGUUGAUAGGCCAGGUGUGUAAGACCCGUAAGGGUUUCAGCUGACUGGUACUAAUCUGCCGAAUGGCUUGACCAC
rnacentral:rRNA from 1 species